AAAAAAAACUCCAAGGAGAACAUUCUUGGACUGUCUUCCUUCAAGGCAACAAUGCUUAAAGCUGCUUCACUAUGUAAGCCCCUUCAUGGAUUGCAGAUAAAUUUUAGUCUAAUGAAAAGUAUAUUCAUACACAGUAAAGUGAAUGGUAGCUUCUUUUGCUUGAGUUACUGCAUCAGUGUGGUGUACCCUGGAAACCAUCAUUGUGUACUGCUAAAGAGAGCCGAAGGAAGUCCAAAUGCUUCUUCCUAAAUGUUUGUCUUUCAAAAAGAGCUUUGAGGGGACCUGACCUGUACAGAGAGUUGGUCAACAUCGACCUGGUCAGAGCCAAGAAGACGGGAAGUCCAAAAGUCUCCUCUUUCGUAUACUAUUAGUUACCUGUUCUUGUAAGAAUUUCUUUUAUCUUCAAUAAGUGCUCGGAGUUGAUCCAUUUUCCUGGGCAUCGCCUGAAAGCUGACCACAAUUUCUCAGAGAAUUGGAAAGUUUGCUCUCCAUCCGUCCAUGUUCUGAAAUUUGAAGCUCUUUGUUGUCACUCUUGCUUUGUGACCCGCUACUCUGUUGGGUAGGUAAUGCACAAAAUCGUCACCAAAUGGUUGCAGGACUCUUGGAGGAAGGUGCUCUUGAUCACACUCUUUGUUUAUGAUAGCAUUCAAAUUGUCAAACUCUCUCUUCCUUGACAUUAGGAUGUGGAAAGAGCCUUUCCUGUAAUCUUCUGUUGUCUGUCCUUCCAAAUCUCCAAAAUGUCAGCCUGGACCUCAUUCUGCAAUUGGAAGAUGCCCAAAUUAAUCCUUAUUUUGGACAUCUUCUGAUACGUGACAUGGAGUUUUCUCCAGCUGUUUUAUAAGUUAAAUGUUCCUCGUUACUAUUUGACAACCGUGUACGGACAUUUUCCUUGUACAUUGUCCCUGUUCUGGCUAGAUCUCAAUCCAACUGAACAACUUAGAGAUACGACGGAACAGAAAAUCAUGGACAUGUAGAUGACAAAUCUGCAACGGCCGUGUCAUCGAAUCAUGCAAUAUGGACCAAGACCUGAAAAGAAUGUCUUAAACCCCUUGUUUGAUUUUAGUCCACAAAGACUCCAAUGCAGUUCUGAAAACCCAGAAGUAGCAAAGUGUGCCUAUUAAGGUGGCCAGUGACUCUUUUGUCCUUGCAAUGCUUUUGUUUUGGGUUAAAUAGGAAGUCAAUUUUUGGCUGCUCUGUUAACUGCCUCCACACAAGACAACAUAAAUCCUUCUUUGACCCUGGGACAGCACACAAAAGGGGAAAACAAAGGAAGCAUUGCUUCUGGCGCUCUCUGUCUGGACAUCAAGAUCAAUCAAAAGUCAGACAGACUCACCUUCACGUGGAAUCCUAAUCGACAGUGACUCAGGGAAUUUGAGGAGCUCUUACAGUACAAAGUGCUGCAGCUUUAUACUGAAGAAUUGGGCGAAUCUCAUUUCAUCCCCUCUGGAUUGAGGAGCCACGUAAACCAUCUGUAACUGAGGCUGCAUGGAGGCAAAAUGUGCAGCAGGAGCUCCACAUACUGGAUUCAUUUUGAGAAAAGAAAACUCAGCCUGGGUGAGAUUAGAGGGCUCAAAACCUGCACAGAGAUAAAUAAAUGCUCAGUGGGUUGAUUUGACACACUUUGUAACACUGAACUCGUUGCUUUUUCAUAGGAUUAACAAGUCGUUUUAAAUUCAGUAUCAGCAAUUUUCUCCUGCGAUAUAAUUUUAAUUAUUUGUGUUUUGUGACAGCAAAGUAGUUCUUAAAUCUUUGAGGAUGACCGACAGUCAGUGAUUCCAAACUCUGCUGUUUUUCUGUACCAGUUGUAAAUGUCCUAAUUGUGAUUGAAGUCAAGCUGCAAAAGUUACAAUACGUAAAAAAACAAAAAAACAUAGUGAUUUAGGCUUAGACUAAAAGUGACUUCAAUAUUCAGCCAUAUUUAAUAGAUUAGAAUAUUUUUUGAAAAGCUUAUUUAUUUCAGUAACUCGAUUCACUAUAUGAAGUACAUUUUAGAUUAACCAUGCACAGACUGAUGUUUUCAAGCCUCUGUUUCUUUUAUUAUGAUCAAUCUUUAGCUUACAGAUGGUAAAAGCACAUUUAAGAUUAAAAUAUUACACCAGACCAAUAAAAACAUCUGAAGAUGAUGUGUUCCCCUGAUUUUUAUACACAUCAGAAUAAAACCAAACAUAUUCACGGACAAAGCCAGUCCAGUACAACAUGUGCCACUGAUUUCAUAAGAAACAAAGUGCCGAAAACGAGAAUUAAAUUGCUUAUAAUUGCAACUACUA